GACGAACGCUGGCGGCGUGCUUAACACAUGCAAGUCGAACGAAGAGCGAUGGAAGCUUGCUUCUAUCAAUCUUAGUGGCGAACGGGUGAGUAACGCGUAAUCAACCUGCCCUUCAGAGGGGGACAACAGUUGGAAACGACUGCUAAUACCGCAUACGAUCUAAUCUCGGCAUCGAGGAUAGAUGAAAGGUGGCCUCUACAUGUAAGCUAUCACUGAAGGAGGGGAUUGCGUCUGAUUAGCUAGUUGGAGGGGUAACGGCCCACCAAGGCGACGAUCAGUAGCCGGUCUGAGAGGAUGAACGGCCACAUUGGGACUGAGACACGGCCCAGACUCCUACGGGAGGCAGCAGUGGGGAAUCUUCCGCAAUGGACGAAAGUCUGACGGAGCAACGCCGCGUGAGUGAUGACGGCCUUCGGGUUGUAAAGCUCUGUUAAUCGGGACGAAAGGCC
rnacentral:rRNA from 1 species